rnacentral:rRNA from 1 species
CCUACGGGAGGCAGCAGUGAGGAAUAUUGGUCAAUGGGCGGGAGCCUGAACCAGCCAAGUAGCGUGCAGGAUGACGGCUCUACGGGUUGUAAACUGCUUUUAUACGGGAAUAACGUGACUUACGUGUAGGGCUUUGCAUGUACCGUAUGAAUAAGCACCGGCUAAUUUCGUGCCAGCAGCCGCGGUAAUACGGAAGGUCCGGGCGUUAUCCGGAUUUAUUGGGUUUAAAGGGAGCGUAGGCGGCAUGUCAAGCGUGCUGUGAAAUGUUCGGGCUCAACCCGGGACUUGCCGCGCGAACUGGCGGGCUUGAGUCCGCGGAAAGCAGGCGGAAUGCGUGGUGUAGCGGUGAAAUGCUUAGAUAUGACGAAGAACCCCGAUUGCGAAGGCAGCUUGCUGCAGCGGAACUGACGCUGAUGCUCGAAAGCGCGGGUAUCGAACAGGAUUAGAUACCCCUGUAGUC